UUUAACCAAGAGACAAUCGCUCAUCGAAAAAUUAUUAAUACAACAUAAAUGAAAGAUUGAGCAACUCAAGUAUUUCUUGAGAAUUGAGGUAGCCCACUCGAAGCAAAGCAUUUUUAUCUCUCAAAAGGAAGCAUGUGCUUGAUCUUUUGCAGGAAAUAAGAAAACUUGGAUGUAAACCUGCAAGUGUUCCCAUUGAGAACAAUCACGGAAUAAGUUUGAGGAGGAAAGUGCCAAACUUAACAAGGG
rnacentral:lncRNA from 1 species